GGGACAUGGGCGGCGUGCUAUACAUGCAAGUCGAGCGAACAGAUAAGGAGCUUGCUCCUUUGACGUUAGCGGCGGACGGGUGAGUAACACGUGGGUAACCUACCUAUAAGACUGGAAUAACUCCGGGAAACCGGGGCUAAUGCCGGAUAACAUUUAGAACCGCAUGGUUCUAAAGUGAAAGAUGGUUUUGCUAUCACUUAUAGAUGGACCCGCGCCGUAUUAGCUAGUUGGUAAGGUAACGGCUUACCAAGGCAACGAUACGUAGCCGACCUGAGAGGGUGAUCGGCCACACUGGAACUGAGACACGGUCCAGACUCCUACGGGAGGCAGCAGUAGGGAAUCUUCCGCAAUGGGCGAAAGCCUGACGGAGCAACGCCGCGUGAGUGAUGAAGGUCUUCGGAUCGUAAAACUCUGUUAUUAGGGAAGAACAAAUGUGUAAGUAACUGUGCACGUCUUGACGGUACCUAAUCAGAAAGCCACGGCUAACUACGUGCCAGCAGCCGCGGUAAUACGUAGGUGGCAAGCGUUAUCCGGAAUUAUUGGGCGUAAAGCGCGCGUAGGCGGUUUCUUAAGUCUGAUGUGAAAGCCCACGGCUCAACCGUGGAGGGUCAUUGGAAACUGGGAAACUUGAGUGCAGAAGAGGAAAGUGGAAUUCCAUGU
rnacentral:rRNA from 1 species